AUUGAACGCUGGCGGCAGGCUUAACACAUGCAAGUCGAGCGGGCGAGGUUGCUUCGGUAACUGAGCUAGCGGCGGACGGGUGAGUAGUGCUUAGGAAUCUGCCUAUUAGUGGGGGACAACAUUCCGAAAGGAAUGCUAAUACCGCAUACGCCCUACGGGGGAAAGCAGGGGAUCUUCGGACCUUGCGCUAAUAGAUGAGCCUAAGUCAGAUUCGCUAGUUGGUGGGGUAAAGGCCUACCAAGGCGACGAUCUGUAGCGGGUCUGAGAGGAUGAUCCGCCACACUGGGACUGAGACACGGCCCAGACUCCUACGGGAGGCAGCAGUGGGGAAUAUUGGACAAUGGGCGCAAGCCUGAUCCAGCCAUGCCGCGUGUGUGAAGAAGGCCUUUUGGUUGUAAAGCACUUUAAGCGAGGAGGAGGCUACUUGGAUUAAUACUCUAGGAUAGUGGACGUUACUCGCAGAAUAAGCACCGGCUAACUCUGUGCCAGCCGCCGCAGUAA
rnacentral:rRNA from 1 species